AAUAUUGGGCAAUGGGGGAAACCCUGACCCAGCGACGCCGCGUGAGGGAAGAAGGUCUUCGGAUUGUAAACCUUUGUCAACAGGGAAGAAGCAAGUGACGGUACCUGAAGAGGAAGCCACGGCUAACUACGUGCCAGCAGCCGCGGUAAUACGUAGGUGGCGAGCGUUAUCCGGAAUUACUGGGUGUAAAGGGUGUGUAGGCUGGGACGCAAGUCAGAUGUGAAGCCCAUGGGCUCAACUCAUGGCGUGCAUUUGAAACUGCGUUUCUUGAGUGUGGGAGAGGUAAGCGGAAUUCCUAGUGUAGCGGUGAAAUGCGUAGAUAUUAGGAGGAACACCAGUGGCGAAGGCGGCUUACUGGACCACAACUGACGCUGAGACACGAAAGCGUGGGGAGCAAAC
rnacentral:rRNA from 1 species